rnacentral:lncRNA from 1 species
AUGGUGGUGCUGAUGGUAGCAAUAACGAGACAUUGGUAAGUGCUCACUCUGUGUAUAGGCAGGGCUGCCGUUGCUUUAUCUGAGCGAGUUGGAUUAUCUGGCUCUUUGUAGUGGCUGAUGAAGAAGGCCUCUAAUAGAUUUUAAAAAAUGCGUCCUGUUAGUUUUUACCCCAUCUCCAAUAUGUAUUUAUUUAAUCUUCUUCAAAAUGGGAGUGAUAAGGAUAUCUUAUAAAACUUUUCAAAGAUUAACUGAAUUAAUGUGUCACAUAGCCUGGGGUCCCUGUGUGUCUUGCUGUUUUUGCUGUUGUCAGCUUUGUAGCACCAUCUUUACACGGUGAAGUUGUAUGGUGAGAGCAGAUCUCGUUUUGGAUUCUAUCACAGAUACACUCAUGAGAACGCAAAUUGUUUUUUUUUUUAACAUAAGGUGUGUAAUUGUUUUGUCUUAAGAGCUCCAGCUUUGAAUGUCACACAUUAAAGAUCAUGCAUUAAAACAACAACAAAAAUCAAAGGAAGCAUGACGUACGUUUGAAAGCCCACCAAAACAAUAAAGAGAAGGAAAAAGAAAGAGGAAGGAGUGAAAGAGAAUCUGGUGUGGUGGCGGAUGAUUUUAAUUUCAGCAUGUGUGAGAUAGAGGCAGGCAGAUUUCUGAGUUAAGGCCAGCAUGGUUUACAUAGUCAGUUCCAGGCCAGCUAAGGCUACAUAAUGAAACCUUGUCUUAAACAUUCAACAUGCAUAGAAUUCUGCUAACCCAGCCGUUCUCAACCUUCCUAUCUUCAUUGCUACUUUUUAACUGUAAUUUUGCUACUGUUAUGAAUUGUAGUGUAAAUACCUGUGAUUACCCCCUACCCCCGCCCUGGUCUUAAACGACCUCUGUGGGAAAAAAAAAAAAGGUCAUUUGCCCUCAAAACGGUUGUGACCCACAAAUUGAGAACCACUGUGCUAAAUUAAUCUUGGUCAAAUCUCUCCUGAUUCCUAAACGCGGGUGGGUUUCUGAAGUUCCCGCAUAUUGGGGUUUGUUUUGUUAUAUCCUGCUCAUUAGAGGGACAUUGUCUCUAAAAUGUUUAACAGUCUACACUCCGAGCUUUCGAGACAAUGGAACACAAUCCAUAAUACUAAUGUGUUAGCUGAAAGUGGAGCUGCCCCGUUUAUAUAAGGUCUGAUUAGAGCCUUUCAGAUGUUAACUAGGCUCCCCUGGUGUGUCCCCCCCCCCUCAUUAGAAUACUUCACAUGUUAAUUUACCACCCCGGCGAUUUAGAUUAAAAUUAACUCCCUUUUUAAUCUUUUUGCAUAAAUCGAAGUAUUUUGAAGUAGAUGAUAGACAAUAUGUUAUCUAAUUUAUCCCUUACUACAAGCCCGUGAAGCACACUUUAUUCUUACGCUAAUAUGUUAGGCAGAAAUGUGGAGGCUGGAAUAUAAGGAGGGUCUUCUUCUAGUUAGCAAGUGUGGAGACUAUGACUCAUCCCAGCCCGCCUGACUGCAAAUCCUGUGAUCUUAAUUACUCAAAUGUGAAGUGGUGAUUGCAGCUGUAAUUUGUUCUGCUUCUCCAAAUGCUGUUUUAUUCGGCGGCUUAUGGAAAGGUCAAUAUUAUUAUUUAAAGGUUCUAUUCUCCAUUUUGCUUUUCCAUGCUUUGGAGAGAUGGGUAGCUAGACAGCAAAUAGAUCAUAAGUCAGUUUCAUGUCCUUUUGAUGUAAGAGAGGCAGGGACUUGAAGAGGGCAAUAAAAUUACAAUCUGUGCUGCCUGUGAAAAAAAGCUGUGGCUUAUCUGAAUGAUACCGUGCAUUUGCUUAGGACAGUGGAGUUCUGUACCCAGUAAGAACUCGGUCCAAACAGUGACGAGUCACAGAUGUGAGAUCUAACCGAAGAUGUAAACCUCAUAUGUUCUUUCAGGACGGUUGCUGCUUACAUUGAAUUUGUGAAGCUCGGGGGCUGGCAGCACACCAAGUCCCGGGUUCAAUUUAUAGC